CGAGCGGACAGAUGGGAGCUUGCUCCCUGAUGUUAGCGGCGGACGGGUGAGUAACACGUGGGUAACCUGCCUGUAAGACUGGGAUAACUCCGGGAAACCGGGGCUAAUACCGGAUGGUUGUCUGAACCGCAUGGUUCAGACAUAAAAGGUGGCUUCGGCUACCACUUACAGAUGGACCCGCGGCGCAUUAGCUAGUUGGUGAGGUAACGGCUCACCAAGGCGACGAUGCGUAGCCGACCUGAGAGGGUGAUCGGCCACACUGGGACUGAGACACGGCCCAGACUCCUACGGGAGGCAGCAGUAGGGAAUCUUCCGCAAUGGACGAAAGUCUGACGGAGCAACGCCGCGUGAGUGAUGAAGGUUUUCGGAUCGUAAAGCUCUGUUGUUAGGGAAGAACAAGUGCCGUUCAAAUAGGGCGGCACCUUGACGGUACCUAACCAGAAAGCCACGGCUAACUACGUGCCAGCAGCCGCGGUAAUACGUAGGUGGCAAGCGUUGUCCGGAAUUAUUGGGCGUAAAGGGCUCGCAGGCGGUUUCUUAAGUCUGAUGUGAAAGCCCCCGGCUCAACCGGGGAGGGUCAUUGGAAACUGGGGAACUUGAGUGCAGAAGAGGAGAGUGGAAUUCCACGUGUAGCGGUGAAAUGCGUAGAGAUGUGGAGGAACACCAGUGGCGAAGGCGACUCUCUGGUCUGUAACUGAC
rnacentral:rRNA from 1 species